rnacentral:rRNA from 1 species
UACGUAGGGGGCUAGCGUUGUCCGGAUUUAUUGGGCGUAAAGAGCGUGUAGGCGGCCCGGUAAGUCCGCUGUAAAAGUCAAAGGCUCAACCUUUGAAUGUCAGUGGUUACUGCCGGGCUAGAGUCCGGAAGAGGCGAGUGGAACUCCUGGUGUAGCGGUGGAAUGCGCAGAUAUCAGGAAGAACACCAACGGCGAAGGCAGCUCGCUAGGACGGUACUGACGCUGAGACGCGAAAGCGUGGGGAGCGAACAGG